UAAAGAAAUAGUGUAGAUUUCACUGAGAAAAGAACUGGAAGACCAGCAACCAAACCAUGAUUUACAAAAUAUCAAUAUCCACCAUAGCCAUGAAAUCCUAUAACAUACAUAGAAACAAUAAUUUACCAAGUUAACUAAAUCCAUUGUCAAUCUCCUUCCACCUAUACCCCAACUAAGAAACACUGAACUCUGAGGCUAAACAACUAAGCUUAUCUGCUUGGGUAAUACGAGAGAGGGAAGGAAGAAUGCAAGAAAAGCUUCAUUUAGUUGUUACAGAAAUCAAGAAAUAAAGAUAUUGGAUGACUUUAUCAUCUUGGUCAGGCACCUGAAUGCCCCUCUGAUGGGUAGGUGCUAGGAGGGGGUGUUGUUGAGGCUGAGCUUCCACUUCCAUCACCUUCUUUUCCCUGUGAAACAACUAAUUACUUUCUCUGCCAGCUGUAUAAACAUCUUAACCUUAAUCUGACCCCUCUUUGGAGGGAUCCUUACUUCUGGCUUCCUUUCUGGGGUCUUUUUAUGUUCCAUGGUUUUGAAACUGUCUUGGAAAGCUAAAGAAUUGCUGUUUAGAAGUACAGAAGAAAGCAGAGGAAAAAUCUGCUUUGCUUCUUACAGAAAGAGAAACUAAUGGAAGAGUUUGACAGUUAACUAUAAAAUAUAA
rnacentral:lncRNA from 1 species